rnacentral:rRNA from 1 species
AUUGAACGCUGGCGGCAGGCCUAACACAUGCAAGUCGCACGAGUGGCGGACGGGUGAGUAAUGUCUGGGAAACUGCCCGAUGGAGGGGGAUAACUACUGGAAAAGGUAGCUAAUACCGCAUCCCAUCGGAUGUGCCCAGAUGGGAUUAGCUAGUAGGUGGGGUAACGGCUCACCUAGGCGACGAUCCCUAGCUGGUCUGAUAGGAUGACAAGCCACACUGGAACUGAGACACGGGCCAGACUCAUACGGUAGGCAGCAGUGGGGAAUAUUGCACAAUGGGCGAAAGCCUGAUGCAGCCAUGCCGAGUGUAUGAAGAAGGCCUUCGGGUUGUAAAGUACUGUCAGCGAGGAGGCGUUACUCGCAGAAGAAGCACCGGCUAACUCCGUGCCAGCCGCCGCGGUAAUUC